rnacentral:tRNA from 1 species
GGCUCGGUAGCUUAGUUGGUACAGCGUUCGUCUAGCAUACAAGAGUCCUGGGUUCAAAUCCCAGCCGAGCAC